AACGAACGCUGGCGGCAUGCCUAACACAUGCAAGUCGAACGAGACCUUCGGGUCUAGUGGCGCACGGGUGCGUAACGCGUGGGAACCUGCCCUUAGGUUCGGAAUAACUCCCCGAAAGGGGUGCUAAUACCGGAUAAUUUCUUCGGACCAAAGAUUUAUCGCCUUUGGAUGGGCCCGCGUUGGAUUAGCUAGUUGGUAGGGUAAAAGCCUACCAAGGCGACGAUCCAUAGCUGGUAUGAGAGGAUGAUCAGCCACACUGGGACUGAGACACGGCCCAGACUACUACGGGAGGCAGCAGUGGGGAAUAUUGGAAAAUGGGCGAAAGGCUGAUCCAGCAAUGCCGCGUGAGUGAUGAAGGCCUUAGGGUUGUAAAGCUCUUUUACCAGGGAUGAUAAUGACAGUACCGGGAGAAUAAGCACCGGCUAACUCCGUG
rnacentral:rRNA from 1 species